UUUUCCACCAACGUAAUUUCGUGCUGUGCUUUAGGAACAAUGUAGGCAUUAAAAAUGAACAUCAUUCAGUGUUCCUAAGUGCAGUAGAAAACCCUUUGGAUAUGUUCUUCUGCAAGCAGUGUUUAAAAGAAAAAGAAAAAGAAAAAGAAAGAAAGGAAAAAAGAAAAAAGAAUUAGAAAAAGGGGCGAAAAGAGAAGAAAAGGGGUGGAAAAGAGUGGGAGAGAUUGAAAAAGAGAGAGAAAGAGAAAAGAUAAACCAGCCCUGGUGGAUCUGGUAGCAGAUCUAUAACUAACGAGCCACACGAUCAUAUAACAGUAUUUAACAAGCAUCUGACAAAUGUUCUAGGCAGUACAGCAUUUUCAACCAUGGCUUUGUUCAGAUUGUAUGACUUGAAAUACGUCGUUGCUCGGACCAGUCUGAAGGCGGAAGAUUGUCAAAAUCGAGCUGGUGUUCGUUUCCUGGGUUAGGGCGCCUUUCCUGAACUCCCUGCGGGUGAAAAAGGGAUGCAGGGUCAGCUCCACAGACGAAAGAUAUAGGAGAAUGAAAGACAAAGCACGAGGACAUGUGCCUAGCAAGCACAACAGGACAGAGGAUGCAUCCUGAGAGCUAGGAAACAUUUCUCAUCCAAAUGAAAAAAUAAUGCCCUCCUACUACAUCUGCAAUUUCCUUUGCAACACAAACAUGCAUAAAAUGGGCAUGGUAGAUAGCAAAGACCUAUCAAUUUCCUUCUGUAUUUCUGCUAAUAAAUAAACUUCUAAAUGUUAAAAACACUCUUAUCUGUCACAUUCACAAGAUAGGUAGUGUAAAUUCCUGUUGCAAAUAUACAAACAGAGAUCCAAGAGGUUGCCUCUGUUUUUGUAUAUCUUUCUCUCAAGAAAUGCACUAUCAAAACAUUAAUUAUAUUUGAAAGGGAGCAGAUUAUUUGUUUGAGAAAGAAUUACAUUCUUGAAUUUAUAUUCCAAGCAGAUCUCUCCUCCUGUCUGCCGAGAGGGUUGAACUGUAAAUCUGUCUCAAAUGAUGUACCCCUAAAACGGAGGUAUCUGCGGAGGAAGAAGGUGACGUGACGAGAAACGCCUGACAGCCAAAGUGGGGAACUGUCCGGGAGAAGGAUACGUGAUGAAUGAG
rnacentral:lncRNA from 1 species